rnacentral:rRNA from 1 species
UGGCGGCGUGCCUAACACAUGCAAGUCGAACGGAGAAUUUUAUUUCGGUAGAAUUCUUAGUGGCGAACGGGUGAGUAACGCGUAGGCAACCUGCCCUUUAGACGGGGACAACAUUCCGAAAGGAGUGCUAAUACCGGAUGUGAUCAUCUUGCCGCAUGGCAGGAUGAAGAAAGAUGGCCUCUACAAGUAAGCUAUCGCUAAAGGAUGGGCCUGCGUCUGAUUAGCUAGUUGGUAGUGUAACGGACUACCAAGGCGAUGAUCAGUAGCCGGUCUGAGAGGAUGAACGGCCACAUUGGGACUGAGACACGGCCCAAACUCCUACGGGAGGCAGCAGUGGGGAAUCUUCCGCAAUGGACGAAAGUCUGACGGAGCAACGCCGCGUGAGUGAUGAAGGAUUUCGGUCUGUAAAGCUCUGUUGUUUAUGACGAACGUGCAGUGUGUGAACAAUGCAUUGCAAUGACGGUAGUAAACGAGGAAGCCACGGCUAACUACGUGCCAGCAGCCGCGGUAAUACGUAGGUGGCGAGCGUUGUCCGGAAUUAUUGGGCGUAAAGAGCAUGUAGGCGGCUUAAUAAGUCGAGCGUGAAAAUGCGGGGCUCAACCCCGUAUGGCGCUGGAAACUGUUAGGCUUGAGUGCAGGAGAGGAAAGGGGAAUUCCCAGUGUAGCGGUGAAAUGCGUAGAUAUUGGGAGGAACACCAGUGGCGAAGGCGCCUUUCUGGACUGUGUCUGACGCUGAGAUGCGAAAGCCAGGGUAGCGAACGGGAUUAGAUACCCCGGUAGUCCUGGCCGUAAACGAU